rnacentral:misc_RNA from 1 species
GGAAGGAUCAUUCACACGAAACAUCCGCAUCUUGUGAACAAUUUUUAAAUCAUGUUGCUCACCACAUGUUAGGGUUGCCUGCAUGGCAUGAGAGAUACAGGCUUGCCAGUAUCUUAUGGUGGGACUCACUUUGAUUUCAUGUCAAAUUUGAACAAUCUUGUCAAAACUAUCAGCGAUGGAUGUCUUGGUUCUCGCAACGAUGAAGGACGCAGCAAAAUGUGAUAGUCAAUGUGAAUUGCAGAAUUCAGUGAAUCAUCAGGUUGCUGAACGCAGACGGCACUUCUGGGCUUCCAGAAGUAUGUCUAUCUCAGUAUUUCCUCAACUUUCUUCUCCCAUAUAGGAGUAGAAGAGUCAAAAGCGCGCUGCAACAUUUUGUUUGUGGUGCGCUUUAAGCGUUCCGUGUAUUGAAGAAAAUGUACCAUAUUCACACUUGGUGAUUUUUGUGCUGCAUUUUUUCAUUUCGGCACGGUCCUUUUCUUCUGAAUCUGAGAUUAGACAAGGCUACCCGCUGAAUUUAAGCAUAUAAUUAAGCGGAGGAAAAGAAACUAACUAGGAUUCCCUUAGUAAUGGCGAAUGAACAGGGAAGAGCACGACAUGAAAAUCAGAGGAUCGGUCCUCUGAAUUGUAGUCUCUAAAAUUUUGUCCAGGUAAGGCGCAGGGGUAAGUCUCUUGGAAAAGAGCGUCACAGAGGGUGAGAACCCCGUCUAUACUCUGCAGACUUUUCCGUACGGACUUUUUUUGACGAGUCGCGUUCCUUGGGAUUGGAGCGCAAAGUGGGUGGUAAAUUUCAUCUAAUGCUAAAUAUUGGCGAGAGACCGAUAGCGAACAAGUACUGUGAAGGAAAGAUGAAAAGAACUUUGAAAAGAGAGUUAAAAGUGCCUGAAAUUGCUGGUAGGGAAGCGAAUGGAAUUGUAUUUUCUGCAGAGAUUAUGGAUUGCGAAAGUGUACGCGUCUCCUACACCGCAAGGGUCACUGGUAGGCGUUGCAACCCAAGUAAUCCACUGCUCUUGGCAGAAUUGUCAGCAUCAGUUGCGUGUGCAAGAAAACGUACAAAGAGGAUGAAUCCUCUGGGGUUGCUCAGCUUUGUAUCGACCUUGCGCAUGUUCCUGAGGAAUGCAGGCUGAUUUUCACUCUCGAGUAAUCAGUCCUUCAGAUGUUGGCUAAGCGAUUUCAUCCGACCCGUCUUGAAACACGGACCAAGGAGUCUAACAUAUGUGCGAGUAUGCAGGUGGAAAAUCUGUAUGUGCAAUGAAAGUAAAAGUUGGGAAAUUUGCACCAACGACCGACCACGAUCUUCGGAGAGAGGUUUGAGUAAGAGCGCAUCUGUUAGGACCCGAAAGAUGGUGAACUAUGCCUGAGUAGGGUGAAGCCAGGGGAAACUCUGGUGGAGGCUCGUAGCGAUACUGACGUGCAAAUCGUUCGUCGAACUUGGGUAUAGGGGCGAAAGACUAAUCGAACCAUCUAGUAGCUGGUUCCCUC